rnacentral:lncRNA from 1 species
UCUUCUCUGAAUAGUUCUUUCAAUUUCUAAAUCAAAGUGAGCAAGAAAGUUUGAGUUGCUUCGGGUCAUAAAACAUCUAAAAUGAAGUUGAAGAAUUAACAACAAAGAAAAAAUAUUUAGUGAGUACUAAAUAUUAUAUAAAGAAAACAAAAUGCAAAAAACAAAAAUAAAAAUAAACAUUAAACAAGUUCCAUCCUCG